GGUUCCUCUCUAAAUAAUUAUGCAUUAAAAAUUCAUUUUUUUAUUUAUAGCCCUUUUGUUCAUUUGAUUUAUAUAAAAAAUGUGUUCAAAAAUUCAAUUCCUUUAUUCAUAGCCCUUUUGGUCAUUUGAUUUAUAUUAGCGGCAAGUGUUCAAUUCUUUUUCCAUUGAGCGUGUCCGGUAUGGCUGUGUGGUUCAGUUAUCAUCAUUUUAUUAUACGAAUAAUUUUUAUUAAUAUUUUUGUUAUUAAGCAUAACAAAAAAAUAUCUAGGUCAUCUUGUGGUCUCUCGAUGUUAAAUUACAUGGAGUACUUCACGGGAGAUAGUUUGUCCGACACUCCCGAACAUGUAUAUUUUGCAUCAUAUCCUGAUACUAAUUAUUUUGUGUUGUAUCAUUAUUUGAAAACUAAGUUUUAUUACUGCUUUACUUUAGGUUCACAUGGCAGAUUUUAGAACAAAAUUAUGUGUCAUUUUAGUCGACUCAGAAUUCAAUGAUGACGAUAUAAGAAACCGAGAUUUGGAUGAUGAUGAAACCAACACAGAUCCUACUCAUUGUAUGAUCGUCGAAACACCUCCUAACAAACCCAAAGCAUCCAACUCAUCGCCACAAGUUGAGCUCAUCUCAUGAUCAUUUAUCAUUUUGCCGUUUGUCACUCCAACAAAUGAUGAGUUAAUAGAUGAACUUUGCUUGUUCAUCAACAUGGUUGAUGAUGUCCCGUUGCUAGAGUAAGACACAUUCUACCAGUUUAUUUUUGUUUCUAAUAAAUUAUUACUCUUGUAUAAUUAUAAUUGACAAAAUUCUCAUUUCACAAGAGCGAAUGGGUGAAAAGCUCUCAACCUUACCCUAUCAGUUUAAACUUGAGACAUGUAAAGAACAUAUUUAAAAAAAUGAGUACAUGGAUCCUGGUUGUUUUAACAUGGCUGUGAGGAUACUGGCGUGCCAUGACGUCUAGCUUGCUAGAGUGUGAUACGAUAAGAUUUGAAUUCAAAUUAAUUGUUUAUUUGGUCUUAAUAAAUGAUAUUGAUUGAUGUAUUUCUAGAUGCAUGUAUUCUUGUAGAUUUUAUUGCAUUGUGAUAUUCUUGGGUUAUUUUUAUUGUUUGUCUUGGGCCAACAUAAAAAAGUUAUUUCUAUUUUGGACCCGCUUUCGAUACCCACUUUCGUAAAGUAUAUUCUUGAAACUAUAGUCAACGAUCUAAACCUUGCACUCUAAGCUGCAACCCUGCCUUGAAGGACGACAUUUUUAUAUGGGGACGCAAAGUUCUUGUUGUUCCCACAAACUCAUACAGUCCAUGUCUGGUUAUUUGGUUUUCAACUUAAUGCACUCAUGGCAUGAUGGGACGCUACAUUUUCUAGUACCGAAGUAUGAAGAGAAUGAAGUUCUAAACAAUAUCCCAGUCUUAGAACGAAGCAUUAUAGACCACAUCAAAAGAUGGACCUUUCAGAGAGGAUCAUCAUCAAAUAAUGAUUACUAGAUAAUGUUGCUUAGUUGUUAUUUUUAAGUAUUUUUGUAAUAAGUAACAAUUAAAAAUACAUUUAU